rnacentral:rRNA from 1 species
UACGUAGGGUGCGAGCGUUGUCCGGAAUUAUUGGGCGUAAAGGGCUCGUAGGCGGUCUGUCGCGUCGGGAGUGAAAAUUCAGGGCUUAACCCUGAGCCUGCUUCCGAUACGGGCAGACUAGAGGUAUGCAGGGGAGAACGGAAUUCCUGGUGUAGCGGUGAAAUGCGCAGAUAUCAGGAGGAACACCGGUGGCGAAGGCGGUUCUCUGGGCAUUACCUGACGCUGAGGAGCGAAAGCAUGGGGAGCGAACAGG